AACGCACAUUGCGCCCUUUGGUAUUCCUUAGGGCAUGCCUGUUCGAGCGUCAUCUAACCCCUCAAGCAACGCUUGAUGUUGGGCGCUUGUCCCGCCAUCGCGCGCGGACUCGCCUCGAAGACAUUGGCGGCCUGUGUAUUGGCUACGAGCGCAGCAGACCCGCGGCUCGCGACCCUCCCACGCAGGCAGUCCAGAAGCGCGAAACACCCAGUUUUGACCUCGGAUCAGGUAGGGAUACCCGCUGAACUUAA
rnacentral:misc_RNA from 1 species